rnacentral:sRNA from 1 species
CAAAGCUACAUGGCUAGAGGACAUCCGUUGUGGAUGACAAAGCUUUUUACUGAAGAAAGAGGAAACUAGAUUGGAGAUUGGGAUGUAUUUUUGUUUUAUUUAGUGUCGCUUUCUUAAGUCUCAGGUUUCUUUCGUGUCAGGUCUUCUUAGUCUGCAGGUUCUAUUGUCUUUAUCUUUCUUUUAUCAUUCUUAAUUUGUUUUAAUAUCCCAAUAGUUUUAUUAUUA